AUUGAACGCUGGCGGCAGGCCUAACACAUGCAAGUCGGACGGUAGCACAGAGAGCUUGCUCUCGGGUGACGAGUGGCGGACGGGUGAGUAAUGUCUGGGGAUCUGCCCGAUAGAGGGGGAUAACCACUGGAAACGGUGGCUAAUACCGCAUAACGUCGCAAGACCAAAGAGGGGGACCUUCGGGCCUCUCACUAUCGGAUGAACCCAGAUGGGAUUAGCUAGUAGGCGGGGUAAUGGCCCACCUAGGCGACGAUCCCUAGCUGGUCUGAGAGGAUGACCAGCCACACUGGAACUGAGACACGGUCCAGACUCCUACGGGAGGCAGCAGUGGGGAAUAUUGCACAAUGGGCGCAAGCCUGAUGCAGCCAUGCCGCGUGUAUGAAGAAGGCCUUCGGGUUGUAAAGUACUUUCAGCGGGGAGGAAGGCGACGGGGUUAAUAACCCUGUCGAUUGACGUUACCCGCAGAAGAAGCACCGGCUAACUCCGUGCCAGCAGCCGCGGUAAUACGGAGGGUGCAAGCGUUAAUCGGAAUUACUGGGCGUAAAGCGCACGCAGGCGGUCUGUUAAGUCAGAUGUGAAAUCCCCGGGCUUAACCUGGGAACUGCAUUUGAAACUGGCAGGCUUGAGUCUUGUAGAGGGGGGUAGAAUUCCAGGU
rnacentral:rRNA from 1 species